GUCUUUUUGAAUAUAAGUUAAAGUCUAAUCUGCCCACUGAUAUAUAUUAAAGGGCUGCAGUAUUAUGACUGUACAAAGGUAGCAUAAUCAUUAGUUUUUUAAUUGAAAACUUGUAUGAAAGAUUUAAUGAAAUAUUAACUGUCUCUUAUUUUUUAUUAAAAUUUUAUUUUUUAGUAAAAAAGCUAAAAUAAUUUUAAAAGACGAGAAGACCCUAUAGAGUUUUAUAUUUAAAUUUAUUUUAAUUUUAUAUAAAAAUUAAUAUUAAAAUAAAAUUAAAUAUUAUAUUGGGGUGAUAGAAAAAUUAUAAUAACUUUGUUUAAAUAGUAAACAUUAAUAAAUGAUUAAAUGAUCCAUUAAUAAUGAUUAUAAGAAAAAAUUACCUUAGG
rnacentral:rRNA from 1 species